UACGUAGGGGGCUAGCGUUGUCCGGAAUCAUUGGGCGUAAAGAGCGUGUAGGCGGUCCGGUAAGUCCGCUGUGAAAGUCGGGGGCUCAACCCUCGAAUGCCGGUGGAUACUGUCGGGCUAGAGUGCGGAAGAGGCGAGUGGAAUUCCUGGUGUAGCGGUGAAAUGCGCAGAUAUCAGGAGGAACACCUAUUGCGAAGGCAGCGCGCUGGGACGUAACUGACGCUGAGACGCGAAAGCGUGGGGAGCAAACAGG
rnacentral:rRNA from 1 species